UAAUAAGUGUUUAUGGCACUUCUUAAAUCCAUAUCCACCUUGUGUGCAAUGUCAGGCCGAUCUUCUUUAUGAGAUCGACCAAACAUCAACUUAUUUUUUAACUCUUCUGUCUGAAAACUAUUAUGAAUAAACAAUUCAAAUA
rnacentral:misc_RNA from 1 species